rnacentral:lncRNA from 1 species
GUCCAGAUGAAGGCGCCCCGUUUGGGCACGUGACCCGCCCCCGGGGUGUCGGUGAGAGGAUGCUGCCCAUUGGCUGGCUCCGCUCGUGCGGCACGCAGGGUGCAGGUCAGCGUGGCGGACAGGCGGGCCCAUUCACAGGCAAAACCGCCCCCCACCCCGGGAUGUUUCGUGCGGAGCCUGUGGGCGCGCUGCCGUUCACACACUGCCGCUGGCCAUGUCACCACUCGGCCUCCUCUGGCUCCUCGCAGCUCUCGUCACAUCUGGCUCCAGUUCCAGGGAGGCAGAUGGGCUCUGUGGUGCUCCCUGCACUGGUGAGAAAACAUCAUCUCGUUGAUACCCGGCAGCCCGGCAAGCCAUCUGUUGAAAUUAAAACCUACUAGUGAAAACACGCGACCUCUGACCCGCGGUACCCGAGAGGGAUGAGGUACACCUACAGGUACAGCACAGUGAGCACCAGCUCGCCGCCGCACGCGCCCUCUGAGAGCAGCGGACUCGCCCUCGACUGUCUGCUCGACGUGGACGUGCUGCCCGGCUGCCAGCUCACGAUGAAGUUGAGGAACUCCCAGAUAAAGAGAGUUUCGCCGCAGAAGGAGAAUUCAGCACAGCGCACUAAAAAUUUAAGGGAGGCGCUGGAGAGGAACCCCCUGAUGUUCUCCCUCCGUGACGGGAAGGUCGCCCAGGUCUGCCCCUGGGAGGGCGACCCCGUCUGGGCGCUCAACAUCAAGAGGGCCAUCGUGAGCAUGCUGCAGACCUCCCACGCCGGGGACCCUCGGGAAACGGUGAAGGAGACGGACGUGUACGGCACCUGCGUGAGCCACUACGAGCGGAGGGGGUCGGUCCUGGUGAAAACGCGGGACCUCCGGGGGUGCCUGCGCGACCGGCUAGCCGGGUUCUGGCUGCACUCGGUCCCACUGUCCCAGGACAAUGCUGUGGAAUCCAGCGUGCAGUGCGUGCAGCGCCAUGGCGACUCGGCAACCGAGGAGGUCAACUGUACGGAGACGGUGCGCUUGGCGCCGCUCGCCGGCCGGCCAGUGGGGGCCCGUGUCCGCUCUGUGUCCACCCUAACUCUGCUGAGGGCGCAGGACGGGGCGCCAGUGAGCCAAGGUGAACGCAUGGCCCGAGGAUG